rnacentral:rRNA from 1 species
UGGAGCAUGUGGUUUAAUUCGAUGAUACGCGAGGAACCGUUACCUGGGCUCAAAUGUAUGUUGACGUAUUCUGAAAGGGAUACUUCUUCGGACAAUAUACAAGGUGCUGCAUGGUUGUCGUCAGCUCGUGCCGUGAGGUGUCGGGUUAAGUCCCAUAACGAGCGCAACCCCUAUCAUUAGUUGCCAUCAGGUCAAGCUGGGGACUCUAAUGAAACUGCCUACGCAAGUAGUGAGGAAGGUGGGGAUGACGUCAAAUCAGCACGGCCCUUACGUCCAGGGCUACACACGUGCUACAAUGGCCGGUACAAAGGGCAGCUACCUGGUGACAGGAUGCUAAUCUCAAAAGCCGGUCUCAGUUCGGAUCGGAAUCUGCAACCCGACUCCGUGAGGCUGGAAUCGCUAGUAAUCGCGCAUCAGCCAUGGCGCGGUGAAUACGUUCCCGGGCCUU